CGAACGCUGGCGGCGUGCUUAACACAUGCAAGUCGAACGGAAAGGCCCUGCUUGCAGGGUGCUCGAGUGGCGAACGGGUGAGUAACACGUGGGUGAUCUGCCCCUUACUUUGGGAUAAGCCUGGGAAACUGGGUCUAAUACUGGAUAGGACCAUGCUGUAGGUGGUGUGGUGGAAAGAUUAGUUUCGGUAAGGGAUGAGCUCGCGGCCUAUCAGCUUGUUGGUGGGGUAAUGGCCUACCAAGGCGUCGACGGGUAGCCGGCCUGAGAGGGUGGACGGCCACAUUGGGACUGAGAUACGGCCCAGACUCCUACGGGAGGCAGCAGUGGGGAAUAGUGCACAAUGGGCGCAAGCCUGAUGCAGCGACGCCGCGUGGGGGAUGACGGCCUUCGGGUUGUAAACUCCUUUCAGCCAUGACGAAGCCCUUGUGGUGACGGUAGUGGUAGAAGAAGCACCGGCUAACUACGUG
rnacentral:rRNA from 1 species